rnacentral:rRNA from 1 species
CGUCUGGGUUGCUGGCAGCAUUUCGUGGUUUGGUUUGGUUUGGUAAAGCGUUAGAGCGUUCGCUGCGUCGGCGGAGGUGGUGGUCCUUAGUCUGGCGCGUGCGGAGGAAUCGAGCUCGGGUCUGGCCUCGGGACAAGGCGGCACCUAGCGACCUCCUCUCCCGGUGGCCGGCCUAGGGCUGCCCGGUCUACCACCCGCUGGGGGCGCCGCCCCCGCUCAUCGUGCCGACGCUAGCCGCCGCCUGCCUAGCCGCCGCGGCGUUCCGCCGCCCCCGGUGGUACAGACGGCAUCACACGCCGUUCUCCAGGAGGUAGAAGCGGCUGCUCGAGUAGGGGAGGAGAGGCGGAAGGGGAGGGGUGGUGGUGGGAAGGUUCGCCAGGGCGACGAGGGGCUGGGCGCGGAAGCUGCUGCGGCGGCGCCGGGUGGCCGCCCUCCGCGACGAGGUGGUGGAAGCGAGGGAGAAGGGAGUGUACCUAGGGGUCAACGAACUUUCUCGAGAACUUCGUAGACCUCUACUAAACCUAAAACGUUAUUCCUCAAACUUACUGGACGCGGACCUCAGUCGACUCCGAUAGAAAAGUCGACGUAAAUCACUUGGACUCUUACCGGACAGUUGUCGGGAAUUCAAUAGCCGACUUCCAUACGACUAACUUAAAUGUAGUCUUCCAUUACCGGUUAACCUACGAUAAUCACCUUUAGGUGGACGCUGUCUAUUAACAGUCUGUUUAGUGGUAUCGAGACUUACCCAACUCGAUAAACAAUCUCUCUACUACUCACGGAGACUGUAUUUACUACGUGCCCGAGCACGUAGUUCUCGAAACCUCCAAUAACUCUUCAGGUAGUACCUCGCCUGUCCUCGGCUCCGUCACGUUUUGAACGUGUUCCUUUUAUUCUACGAUUUCCUCGUUAAUCGUUAUCGAGAAGCUCUCUUACGACAAGACUUCGCCCCCCAACGUUAGGUUGUGCUCGCGGUUUUUCUCAAACUACUAUUCUGUGUCCUCCAAGUGUUGGAUUUCGUUAACUAAAACGUCAUAGUCCUUGUUGAUUUCUGAGAGCUCUAGUUAUUAAUACGUGAAUCCCACGUAGAUGUCGUCCGAGUCGUCUUGUCAAGUUACGGGCCCGCAAAGGUGGGACUACAAACGACUAUUCGAAAGGUAGGACUACAGACGAUUAUGCGUGUAGCUCCUCCUAUAGGGAGAGUGUGAUCUUAAGACGGGUCGGGGUUCGAGUAUACAAAUGCAUACGUAGUGUAAUGGUAUUUCUGGACGGUAGACUCUUUACAUUUGUCGCUUCACAGCUAUAACAUUAUUUCCUAGGACACGAGGUCCUUUCCAGUCUUCUUUAUUAUACAACUCCACCUACCACGACGCCACGGAUAACCAAUUACGUAGUGAGACAUUGUCAUAAAACACACACUGGAGUUCCCACUCGUAUCACAUAACGAUGGUCUGAAUUUUAUUUAUCUGGACACAACUAGUAAGCAGGUACUGAAAGCCGAGAUACCAACUUCGAAAAAAAUAGCGGCCUACUUCGAAAAAAGUAGCGCUAUACUUCGAAAAAACCAGUGACCAACGUUGAAAGGCCGGCCGCCCCCGCUCCCUCUCCACUCCCCUACCCGUCGUGUCUACUCGUCGCCUCGACGUUGGCUGCUCGUCGCCUCGACGUUGGUCGUCGAGUUUUCCGCUGCCCGCUGCCGCCGCUGGCCACUGCCGCUCCGUUAAGCCGUCCUCCGUUGGACGAAGCUCCAACCAGCAAACGAGCAAGUACCGCUCGCGGCCGCCGCGGCGACGAAACAAAGGGCGACCAGAGCAAUCUAAACCAAAACUUUUUUUUUUGUCUUUGUUUUUUUUGUCUUUGGGGUUAGAUUGCCGUUGUGAACAGCGC